rnacentral:rRNA from 1 species
GCCAGUCAGCCGCCGCGGUAAAACCAGCACCUCAAGUGGUCAGGAUGAUUAUUGGGCCUAAAGCAUCCGUAGCCGGCUUUGUAAGUUUUCGGUUAAAUCCAUGUGCUCAACACAUGGGCUGCCGAAAAUACUGCAUAGCUAGGGAGUGGAAGAGGUAGACGGUACUCAGUAGGUAGGGGUAAAAUCCUUUGAUCUAUUGAUGACCACCUGUGGCGAAGGCGGUCUACCAGAACACGUUCGACGGUGAGGGAUGAAAGCUGGGGGAGCAAACCGGAUUAGAUACCCGGGUAGUCCCAGCUGUAAACGAUGCAGACUCGAUGAUGCAUUGGCAUAAUAGCCAUUGCAGUGUCGCAGGGAAGCCGUUAAGUCUGCCGCCUGGGAAGUACGUACGCAAGUAUGAAACUUAAAGGAAUUGGCGGGGGAGCACGGUCAUACUUGUUUCCUGA